AAAACUACGAGAUACAUUUUGAAGUAAAGUACAUUUUAAGGUGCAAAACAAUUGAAUCGAUGUUAAGUGGAAAACCUUUAGAACUUAACAAUUCAAGAGAAAUAAGUAAGUGAGCAAAAGAGGUAUUUAUGUUUGUACAUCAGAAAUGGAUACGAUGCAUAAAUAGAACAAUUGCACAACAUGUCAGUGAGUGUGCACUAAUUAAAUGAGCUAAAUAUAAGAAACAGAUAUUUUGCAAAUACAUAUGUUUUAGAUACGAGAGUAUGGACCAUUUUAAAAUGUUAUUUACUCCGUUUGACAACAACUUGAAGACAACACAUCUUCCUGUUUGUUGUAUCUAUGAAUCAAAACUGAUUU